rnacentral:lncRNA from 1 species
GUGGCUUCGCGACUGCGGAAGGUUGCCCGGGCUGGCGCCGCUGGGCAGAGCCGGUGCGACGUUUCCCUUUCCAGCUUUGUUCUUCCGGCCCUGCUGUCUGCCUCCCCGGCUGAUUGGAUUCGUUACUGCUUUGCAACGCGCACCUAACUCCAGACGGGGUCUCACUCUGUCGCCCAGGCUGGAGUGCAGUGGCACAAUCUCAGCUUGCUGUGACCUCAGCUCUCUGCGACCUCUGCUUGCUGGACUCAAGCGAUCCUCCCACCACCUCAGCCUCCUGAGUAGCUGGAACCAUCAUAUGCACCAGCACGCCUGGCUAAGCUGGAAUGCAAUAGCGUGGUCUUGGCUCACUGCAACCUCCGCCUCCCGGGUUCAAGCAAUUCUCCUGCCUCAGCCUCCUAAGUAGCUGGGACUACAGGGGCCCUCCUGCUGCUCCCUCCAUGAGGCUGGUCCUGAAGGAAUAGGCCUGUGGCUCGUCCCUCCUCCCCAUCUCGGCCCUGAGGCAAACAUACCUUCCACAGCUCUGGGAGCACCGCCUCCACCCAGGUCUCACAGGAUGGGACACAAGGAUAGGCAUUAAGCAGGACUUCCAGGGCCCGAGGGAAGUUGGCGCAGUGUUUCAGCAUCUAGGGGUCAAAAGAGGGUCUUGGGCACAUGCCUCCCCCACCCGAGGGCAGACCCAAGUCUUGCCUCACCCACAUGGCCAAUCCUAGCCUAAUCUGGGGGGCUAAGGUCUGAGUCUCUCUUCCCUUUUUUGUGCCUCUGUCUACCCCACCCUCAAGUAUGCUCCAACCUUUUGGCCCCAGUUUUCCUCUGGGGCUCUUCCCUCCCUUGGACUCUCUCUCCCAGAAUCCUCUCUCCCCCUCCCAAGCUGGGGACAGCCCCCUGGCCACUGAGGGCAGGCUUUCAGUCUCUUGGACCCUCUGUCUUCCCCAGAAGCGGAGCAGUUCCAGCCGCGGGCUCCCCCACACAGGAGCCUCCUAUGUCAGGGCCUCCCAGCGCACCUCAGGGCGCACUGGCUGCGCCCCGUAGUCCAGCAGUGCGGCGAAAAGGACUUCAGGCUCCCAGUUGGGGGAGUCCUGGACGGCCUGCAGCGCACAGUCCAUGGGCGUGUGGCCCGCCCCAUUGGGGACCUCAGCGCGGGCCCCGUAACGCAGCAGCAGCUCGGCCAGGCCCCCGCAGCCGUUGGCACAAGCGUUGUGCAGCGGCGUGUGGCGCUUGCGCCCGGCCGCCCGGGCAUCAGCUCCAGCCUCCAGGAGCCGGCGCGCCGCAGCCUGGUGUCGCCUGCAGCUACCUGGGCCCUCGGCCCCAGCGCACGCCGUGUUCAGCGCAGUCUCGCCCUGGCUGGUGCGCAGGCCCACGUCGGCGCCAUGCUCCAGGUACAGAGCCACAUGUUGCUCCAGGCCGCGCGCCGCCGCCACGUGCAGGGGCGUCUCCUGGCUCUCGCCUGCUGCCAGGUUCACCGUCGCUCCUGCUUCCAGCAGCAACUUGGCGCACCUGGGGACAAGAGAGCAAGGUCCUGAGGAAAAUCCUGAAGGCUUGGGACCCCUUCAGCUUGCUGUGACACUCCCUUGCCUUUCCACCCCUCUCAGCUUGAGGUCCUACCUGGUGUCCUCCAUGAGAAUCAUACAAGCCCCGCUACAGACAACAGAAUUGGAAGGUCCUGAGAGCUACCAGAAGCAUCUUCAGUUUUCAUAUGAAAAACUUAAGCCCAGGAGUGAUUUGUGCAGCCAAGGACACACAGCAAGUUAGUGGCUGCACCAGAAAUAGUACUCACUGCCUCAGACAGUCCCUCCCACAGUCUACUCUGUCUCCACCCCAAGGUCUGGUUCUGAAUCAUUCAGUUGUCAGUUGUCUCCUUUUUUUUUUUUUUUUUUGGAGACAGGGUCUCUCUCUGUGGCCCAGGCUGAAGUGCAGUGGUGUGAUUACAGCUCAUGUAGCCUGGACCUCCCAAGCUCAAGCAAUCCUCCUGCCUCUGCCUCCCAAGUAGCUGGGACCACAGGUGGGCAGCACCACACCUGGCUAAUUUUUUAAAUUUUUUUUUAUAGAGACAGGGUCUUACCAUUUGCCCCAGCUGGUCUCAAACCCCUGGGCUCAAGCAAGCCUCCUGCCUUGGCCUCCCAAAGUGCUGGGAUUACAGGUGUGAGCCACCACACCCGGCCUUAUCUCCUAACAUUUUGAUAGCACAAAAUUUUGAAAACCCACUUCUGUGUACGUUAUGAAGCAUAGAAAAUUAAACAGUAUGCACCAAAAAAAAAUAA